rnacentral:rRNA from 1 species
GAUGAACGCUGGCGGCGUGCUUAACACAUGCAAGUCGAACGAAGCACUCGUGCGUUCUCGGACAAAUGAGUGACUGAGUGGCGGACGGGUGAGUAACGCGUGGGUAACCUGCUCAUACAGGGGGAUAACAGCUGGAAACGGCUGCUAAUACCGCAUAAGCGCACAGUAUCGCAUGAUAAGGUGUGAAAAACUCCGGUGGUAUGAGAUGGACCCGCGUCUGAUUAGCUAGUUGGUGAGGUAAUGGCCCACCAAGGCGACGAUCAGUAGCCGACCUGAGAGGGUGACCGGCCACAUUGGGACUGAGACACGGCCCAAACUCCUACGGGAGGCAGCAGUGGGGAAUAUUGCACAAUGGGCGAAAGCCUGAUGCAGCGACGCCGCGUGAGUGAAGAAGUAUUUCGGUAUGUAAAGCUCUAUCAGCAGGGAAGAUAAUGACGGUACCUGACUAAGAAGCACCGGCUAAAUACGUGCCAGCCGCCGCCGUAA